UGGGGAAUAUUGGACAAUGGGCGAAAGCCUGAUCCAGCCAUGCCGCGUGUGUGAAGAAGGUCUUCGGAUUGUAAAGCACUUUAAGUUGGGAGGAAGGGCAUUAACCUAAUACGUUAGUGUUUUGACGUUACCGACAGAAUAAGCACCGGCUAACUCUGUGCCAGCAGCCGCGGUAAUACAGAGGGUGCAAGCGUUAAUCGGAAUUACUGGGCGUAAAGCGCGCGUAGGUGGUUUGUUAAGUUGGAUGUGAAAUCCCCGGGCUCAACCUGGGAACUGCAUUCAAAACUGACUGACUAGAGUAUGGUAGAGGGUGGUGGAAUUUCCUGUGUAGCGGUGAAAUGCGUAGAUAUAGGAAGGAACACCAGUGGAGAAGGCGACCACCUGGACUAAUACU
rnacentral:rRNA from 1 species